rnacentral:rRNA from 1 species
GACAGAGGAUGCAAGCGUUAUCCGGAAUGAUUGGGCGUAAAGCGUCUGUAGGUGGCUUUUCAAGUCCGCCGUCAAAUCCCAGGGCUCAACCCCGGGUCGGCCGUGGCAACUGCUGGGCUGGAGCACUGUAGAGGCAGGUGGAAUUCCGGGUGUAGCGGUGGAAUGCGUAGAGAUCCGGAAGAACACCGGUGGCGAAGGCGGCCUGCUGGGCAGUAGCUGACGCUGAUGCGCGACAGCGUGGGGAGCAAACAGG